rnacentral:lncRNA from 1 species
AUCCAAGCACUCGUAGACAUGCUCCUCAGCAUAGGCAAAUCUCUGGAUCCCUUGAGGAGUUUGCCGGCUUAAUGGCUGUGCAGUGUGGGCUAGCAAGUCCAUACCUGAGCUGCAACAGGAUAAAGCAGAGUGAAAGCAUCAAGAUUCAACUUCUUUAACCCCUUAGCUUUCUGUUUGGCUUUCAGAUCACUCAAUCGACGAACCAAAACCAGUAUACCGUCCAUGAUUUCUCGUUCAAGUUCUUUCUCUAUCUCCCUUUCCAGCUCUUCCUAUAGUUGCGCUCUACUUCAGUGACAUGCAUGUUAAAAUAUUCUUUCCUCUUGUUACACUGAUCUUCUGGGGAGGUCAAAAGGUUAUGGCUUCCAACACUUCAGCAAUCAUGGUCAUUGCUUUCGUCUGAGAUAAAUGCUAAUUUAGACCAAAUGAAAGUGCUGUCAUGUCGAAAAGGUGAUGACCUAAAUACAAAGCAAGGUGGGUUUGGUUUUUUCAUGGAGAAAAAUGAGUUUCUUGCAGUGGAAUUAUGAUUCAUUGGAGACAGUAAUAAAGCUUAUGUUGAAGCUAUAAUUAUGUUCUAUAUAUCAAUAAUAAUGUGAUAAACCAGAUAUGUAAGCUAUCUACUAUGGCGGCAUCCCCCAUCUGAUAGAUCUUCUGCCAAAUGUACAAAUCAAGCGGUGUUCCAAUUUUCAGUUUCACGGCUCCAUUUUUUGUUCAAAUAUCAUCAUCAUAAUAUUUUCCUAGCUAUAGGUGAGACAAAUUUAUAUGAUAAACAGAACUCUUUGUUUCCUUAAAGAAAGGUCCUUUUACCUUCUGCAAAGAAAAGAGAGAAAGAAAGAGAAAAAUGCGUUGGUCUCUUGUAGCGAAGAGAGGGCCGCUGGGUGAGAAUAGUUGAAGCCCAGAGCUAACACAAGUAGUCUUUUU